UACGUAGGGUGCGAGCGUUAAUCGGAAUUACUGGGCGUAAAGCGUGCGUAGGUGGUUGUUUAAGUCUGUUGUGAAAGCCCUGGGCUCAACCUGGGAACCGCAUUUCGAACUGGCAAACUAGAGUCUUGUAGAGGGGGGUAGAAUUCCAGGUGUAGCGGUGAAAUGCGUAGAGAUCUGGAGGAAUACCGGUGGCGAAGGCGGCCCCCUGGACAAAGACUGACGCUCAGGCACGAAAGCGUGGGGAGCAAACAGG
rnacentral:rRNA from 1 species